UUAUUUAACAGACGAUGCUCUGUUCGCUAUGGCUCGACUAAUUGGAUCUCCCUUUCGAAUUGAUCGACAUACGGUCGAAGCUGAGUGUGGACGGUAUGCAAGGUUUUGUUAGGAAGCCCCUUGAGUUGACUGUAGGCUGGAAUGGAGACUGGUUCAAUGUGGAAUAUGAAGGAAUACCACUCCUUUGCGAGCGGUGUGGGUUUGCUGGUCACGGCGUGACAUCAUGCCCUAGGUUUCCCAUGCAGGCCAUAGACACUAAUGUCCCAUCGUCUGGGACACUGGUGCAUAGCGAGUAGGGAGCCAAUGAGAGUGAGGAUAACGUGCAAGCCAAUGCUAACCAACCUCAACGAUGUCGAAGCGGAAUUCGGAAAACAGGCAACUAAAGGGCAAUGAAGAAAGCCGGACACGGUUCAUCAAUAUGAAAAUCUGGUGAUACAGUUUCCGUGACGCCCCAAUUUCAAGUUAACAGUUGAUCUUUGGUUUUGAUCUCUUUUUGUGAUUAUGAGAGAAGUCGUUAAUGAAUGGACAAUCACGGGCGUUAUUGUCAGCCUUUGAUACCCUAAGUUUCGGUUUGGUUAAAUUUCGAGUUGAUUUAAAUUCUUC
rnacentral:lncRNA from 1 species